UACCAGCACCCCGAGUGGUCGGGACGAUUAUUGGGCCUAAAGCAUCCGUAGCCGGUUCUGCAAGUCCCCCGUUAAAUCCAGCUGCUCAACAGAUGGGCCGCGGAGGAUACUACAGAGCUAGGAGGCAGGAGAGGCAAGCGGUACUCAGUGGGUAGGGGUAAAAUCCGUUGAUCCAUUGAAGACCACCAGUGGCGAAGGCGGCUUGCCAGAACGCGCUCGACGGUGAGGGAUGAAAGCUGGGGGGAGCAAACCGG
rnacentral:rRNA from 1 species